UGUACUGGGGGGCUUUGGGGAGAAGAAGAAGGAAAAAAAAAAAAGAUUAAGCACCGUCUAGAGGGGCUUAAAUGAAAACACUGGUAGAUCCACACCAAGGCACGCAGCCUUGCAGAUAUGAGAGAGAAGCAGGUCUGUGUUCUGACAGAGAGGGCUUUCCGAGAUAGAGUCUUGGACAAAAAACCAAGCUGCAGAAUGGGAAAAAUAGAAUUAUAUCAUUCACUAGAAAACACGUAAAACAAAGUUGCAUAUUUUUCUAUAAGAUGGAUACAUAUAUUUAUGAAAACACAUAGGGAAAGUUCUGGCAGGGAGGAGCUGAAUUUGGAGUGGUGUCAGAGAGGACUGAUUUAUUUGUAAUGUUUUGACAGGAAGAAUGCAUUUAUUAGUGGCGAUGUUUGUGCUAUUGAGACACAGCGAGACACGAAGACGUUGAGGGGCGAGGCCGACUCCUCUCAGGCUGUCCUGGGCUGGGAUCCCAUGGUUGGAGGGUGCAGGAGGAGGGUGGCUGUGGGUGGAGGCGUGGAGGUGUGUGAGAUAGAAUCUUGAGCAAUGGAAGUGUUUAUGCUUUUAGGGAGGCAAAUGGAGAUGUCCGUCCUCUGCAAGAUUUAUUAGCCGUUGUAAAUUUACUUUCUACUGCAAACAGUUGCCUCAGGAGGCAAUUAAAUUUAGAUCAUAUUGUUCCCAGGUUGGCACCGGCAGGUGUUGACUUGCUGAAGCUUUGCACAACAGCUACUGUCUGUAAGCGUGUGCUCGGCUGCCUGGAUGGCAGAAUAACCCUAGAACCCUACCCCGUGGUGGAAAGAGCAGCUGCUUUGUAAGGCACUGACUCGCACAGACCAACCGAUCGUGAGGCGGACAAGGGAGAUCACAGUGCUGUCUGCUCUGGGCUGGGCCUGGAGCGAUCUUCCAUCCCCGGGCCAAAAGGCCAUGGUCCCUAUUCUCUUAGCAGCACUGCCAAGAGAUGGCUGAGGGGAAUGGUUGAGGAGGCCUGUUCUGGAGCGCCACCACUUACCAGCUGUGUUACUUGAACUAAUGAACCUCCUAGAACCUCACUUUUACCCGAUAAAAUGAGGACCAUGAUGAUGUGAAAUGCAUAGACCCAUUGUAUUAAAACUAAUCAACAAAAAAUCGUGAAUGGCUCCUACGUGUUAGGAACAAAGUUCAAGUCCUAGCUAGCCACAUGCUGAGACCUUAGGCUCUUUUUCCAAAUUGCGAUAAAAUAUACAGAACAUAAAGUUUACCAUCUUAACCAUUUUUAAGUGUACAGUUCAGU